GAGGGUAUAGCUCAGUGGUAGAGUGCAUACUUAGCAUGCACAAGGCCCUGGGUUCAAUCCCCAGUACCUCUA
rnacentral:tRNA from 1 species